GCAGCAGCAGCAGCAGCAGCUUCGUCGGUGUCGGGUGUCGCGGCCGCUGCCCUGUCUCUACCCUGGAAAGGCAGGUUAGAGUAAGAACCGGUGCGCUGCACAGCCCUCUGGGCCUGCUUACGUCGUCUCUGGGUGGUGACGACAUUAGAAACGGCGUGCGUGCUAACGCCCCAGAGUAGCCUAGUGGUCCUGGGGACACAACCCAAGUGCCUCCGCCAGGAAGCCUCACAUGAGCAGGAAGGCCUGUGUGUGUGCGGAAGACAUUCCACCUGGUCUGGGCAUGCUGGGCAGUGGUCUCAGAAGAUCCAUCCCUUACACUUCCUCAUGCACAGGAACCUCCACUAAUGGAUGUGAAUGAAACUUACUGGCACACCUACGCUGCAGCCCCAUGCAAGCAAGCAAAAAGCAAAGUAUUGAAAAUGGAAGCUCCUGAUACCCGGGAAACAACACACUACAUGGAGGGAAGUCUCAGAGCAGCUCCGAUGGCCACUGUUACAGACUCCAGACUUGAUCUACAGAGAGAAAACAAGAGUCUCCACUCCAGCCACCAGAAGUCUAAGUCUUCACCAAGAAAGAUCACAUCUGAGGAAAGAUUCCUCUAGCUCGGCUCCACGAGAAGAUGUUCCCCACUCUCACCCUGGACCAAAUUAGACUGGCUUUCUGUGGUAAAUUGAAUGGGAAUGCUAUCUUCUACAUAUCCAGUAGAGGGCACCAGCUGCUUAGUGGAAAUUCCACAUGGAAAACCUAGAUGGCAUGCAUUUAAGGUUUUUUUCCCCUCCUUCCUUGAUUUUCUGUGUGGAUAUCUAGUGGCAGAGUAAACACAGAGUGAAGACCAUAAUGCAAACUGGCAUAUCAAUGAUAGGUUAAAGAGAAAUUUGAACUAAAAACUAGUCCAAGUAAAUUACAUGCAUGCCCAAAUCAAAACAGAAAAACAGUUUUGAGUUUCCACGGUCAGACACACACUUUCUCAAAUCAUUUCAGCCCAAGUGGCAGUGCCUAGGGUUCCACCAUCCGGUUAUGACCUGGAGUGCUUACCCCUUGCUUGCUGGAGGUUAUCAGCAUUACACAGAGCCAGCAAACUGCUGGGAAGGUCAGGGCUGUUUUAUUAUCAUUAGUGAGCACAACGACACAUAAGGACUUGGUGUACCUGUGACGACAGCGGCGUAGAAACCUCAUUAUUUUUCGAGCAGCUUGGUCCUGCUUUUUGGUCAGCAAACUGCCCCUGAAAAAGCCAGAAUACUACUGUCACAAGAAAGGUUCCGUAAAGCUCCCAGUGCAGACACUGAGAAGUGACCUGAGCUACAGCGGGAGGAGACUUUCAGUUAAAUGGUUUGUGUCACACAUCCAACUGCAAAGCACACACUGCUCCCACAGUGCUGAGACUGGCCUGGACACCCCAAGCUUUUGUUUUCUUUCCUCAUUUGAGGCAGGGUCUCAUGCAUCUCAAGCUGGCAAACCCAGUGUAGAGGCUUUCUGCCCCUCCUGCCUUCAUCUCCCAAGUGCUGGGACUACAGGCACAUUUGACUUUGACCAGUUUACUUGAUGUUGGAUAUGGAGCCCAGGGCUUUGUAUAUGCUAGGCAAGCACUCUGCCAACUGAGAAUAUGCAGACUGAAAAUAAGAGGAUCCCUCCAUAUGCUCUUUUUUUUUUGGGGGGGGGGUUUGA